GCACCUGCGAGAGCCAGGUGUGUCACCACUCCUUUCCUGUUUCAAAGCAACCUCGCACAACGACCCGUGGCUACACAGAAAAACGACUCGAAGUACACGUUGGAGUCUCAAUGGUCCCACGAACAAGGCAAUGCAGUAGGUCGCCCCAGCCAGCAGGUGGGAGUGCUGAGUUGAAUUUAAUUGAGCCCCGGAUGUCACUUUACCGAUCCGAGCGUGUGCUUGUUUACGCGGCCAUGUUGGCAGAAUAGUAGCAAUGCAGAGAAUAACGUGUAAGGUUAGUUGAAGUCUCAACUGUCCAUCGGUGUAAAUGGUUGUUUGUCUAUACGUGCCCUGCGUUUGGCUGGCAACCAGCCUAGGGUGUUUGCACAAAGUCUUCUGGGAUAGGCUCCAGCUCACCCGCAACCCAAGUGAGGUUAACUCUAUAAGGCGACUGGUAAGGCCAAAAGGAAUGGCAUGCACUUGGACCCUUUCAGCUCAUUAUUUUAGUAUGAAAAUCUAAAUGGGGAAAAAAAAGACUCUUUCAGUCGAAGGCUUCUGUGAUGAUUGACUGCAUAUGCAAGACCCCGCAGAGCCUCAUUUCUCCCAUUUGGCAUUAAUUAUCCCAUCAAGAGACAAGGAACAAUUAGAACAUGCGGAUUGAAUUCGAGACGUCGAGGGGGAUGCCAUUAAGGGAAAUUGUUUUUAAACUUCAGCUACCAAAACGCUGCAAAUGAACACAUCUCUGUAACUCGAUUGUCCUACAAUAAACGGAUUUGUGCAGAUU